rnacentral:snRNA from 1 species
GGGGAGUUUGGCUGGGGCGG